AACAUGCUAUGUCAUGAUCCAUCUUAGUCUACUUUUCAUACAAGCCAUUACGACCAAUAUGACAUCAUGUACAAAAUUUCUACACAAACUUAUAGCAAGACAUGUAACUGAUACCAACAUCAACAAUUUUCAUACAUUCAAAAUAUAACAUGCUAUGACACCUUUAGCAUGCAUUUCAUAAGACCCUAACAACUGCAACUUUAUGUUAUAACCCCAUGCCAACAAAGUAUGCCAUGACAGUCC
rnacentral:lncRNA from 1 species